rnacentral:rRNA from 1 species
ACUCAAAUGAAUAGACGGGGGCCCGCACAAGCGGUGGAGCAUGUGCUUUAAUUCGAUGCAACGCGAAGAACCUUACCUAGACUUGACAUGGGGGUGAAAUCCUGUAGAAAUAUAGGACCUUCCGCAAGGAACACCCUACACAGGUGCUGCAUGGUUGUCGUCAGCUCGUGUCGUGAGAUGUUGGGUUAAGUCCCGCAACGAGCGCAACCCUCGCCCUUAGUUGCUAACAGGUUAUGCUGAGAACUCUAAGGGGACCGCCUAGUUUAACUAGGAGGAAGGUGGGGAUGACGUCAAAUCCUCAUGGCCCUUACGUCUAGGGCUAGACACGUGCUACAAUGGCCGGUACAACGGGAUGCAAGAUGGUGACAUUAAGCUAAUCCCAAAAAACCGGUCUCAGUUCGGAUUGGAGUCUGCAAUUCGACUCCAUGAAGCUGGAAUCGCUAGUAAUCGCGGAUCAGCAUGCCGCGGUGAAUACGUUCCCGGGCCUUGUACACACCGCCCGU